rnacentral:rRNA from 1 species
UACGUAGGUGGCGAGCGUUACUCGGAAUUACUAGGCGUAAAGCGCGUGUAGGCGGGAGGUUAAGUUUGCUGUUAAAUCUCGUGGCUCAACCACGAAAUGCCGGCGAAUACUGGCCUUCUUGAAUUCGGUAGAGGAAACUGGAAUUCCAGGUGUAGCGGUGAAAUGCGUAGAUAUCUGGAAGAACGCCAAAGGCGAAGGCAGGUUUCUGGGCCGCAAUUGACGCUGAGACGCGAAAGCUAGGGGAGCAAACAGG